rnacentral:rRNA from 1 species
AACGAGUUACGUUAAGUAGCAAGGUUAAGCACUUAAGGUGCGGAGCCGUAGCGAAAGCGAGUUUUAACUGAGCGUUCAGUUACUUGACGUAGACCCGAAACCGGGCGACCUACCCAUGAGCAGGAUGAAGCGAAAGUAAAAUUUCGUGGAGGUCCGAACCCACGAGCGUUGAAAAGCUCGGGGAUGACUGGUGGGUAGCGGUGAAAUUCCAAUCGAGCCCGGAGAUAGCUGGUUCUCCCCGAAAUAGCUUUAGGGCUAGCCUCAAGGUGAGAGAUACGGAGGUAGAGCACUGAAUGUCCUAGGGGGUAUUGCACCUACCGAAGACUAUCAAACUCCGAAUGCCGUCAUCUUAUACUUGGGAGUCAGACUGUGGGUGAUAAGAUUCAUAGUCGAAAGGGCAACAGCCCAGAUCGUCAGCUAAGGUCCCUAAAUGUAAGUUAAGUGGUAAAGGAUGUGGGAUUGCACAGACAACCAGGAUGUUGGCUUAGAAGCAGCCACUCAUUCAAAGAGUGCGUAAUAGCUCACUGGUCGAGUGAUCCUGCGCCGAAGAUUUCCGGGGCUAAAACUUACUACCGAAGCUACGGCAUCAGUAAUGAUGGGUAGGGGAGCUUGCCAUACGGUUAGAAGCAUGACCGUAAGGACAUGUGGACAGUAUGGGAGUGAGAAUGUUGGCAUGAGUAGCGAGAUGUGGGUG